rnacentral:rRNA from 1 species
CCUACGGGGGGCUGCAGUGAGGAAUAUUGGUCAAUGGCCGAGAGGCUGAACCAGCCAAGUCGCGUGAGGGAAGACGGCCCUACGGGUUGUAAACCUCUUUUGUCGGGGAGCAAAGCGAACCACGUGUGGUUCAUUGAGAGUACCCGAAGAAAAAGCAUCGGCUAACUCCGUGCCAGCAGCCGCGGUAAUACGGAGGAUGCGAGCGUUAUCCGGAUUUAUUGGGUUUAAAGGGUGCGCAGGCGGAGGUGCAAGUCAGCGGUCAAAUUGCGGGGCUCAACCCCGUACUGCCGUUGAAACUGCAUCCCUUGAGUGCGCGAGAAGUAUGCGGAAUGCGUGGUGUAGCGGUGAAAUGCAUAGAUAUCACGCAGAACUCCGAUUGCGAAGGCAGCAUACCGGCGCGCAACUGACGCUCAUGCACGAAAGCGUGGGUAUCGAACAGGAUUAGAUACACGUGUAGUC